UUUCUUUCUGUUUGUCACAAUGCAGACAUGACAUUAUAAAAUGACAUUCACAUUAUCAAAUAGGUACAUGAAACUAAUCUAAAACAAGAAUUUUAAUUUUAUAAAUGUUUACUUGUGAACUAAACACUACUUCGGUAAUUUAUUAUGUUGUAUUUUGUCACUUUGGCCUGGAUGAAACAGAACUCAUCCGAUGCAAGCCGAAGUCAAGGUGACCCGUUUCGCGUGAACCGUAUGUUUCCCCGUCACCCUGCUCCCAUUAUAAUAAUAUGUAUAUACCGAGCCGGCGAGCAUUGCCGUCACUAACACGGGGCCACUUGGUCGGCGGGGUAUCCGAUGCCAGCCUAGACGGCGCUACCAAUACAUCGAGAUUCCCCGCUGGAUUUACAAAGAGACUUCGGUUCUCUCUGCGUUUUAUGUCAUUCCCAAGUUUCACAGAAAGUGCUCUAAAAAUUGUUCAAGACAGCCCUUUUAUCUCUUUUUUACCACUGCUGUUUUUGAGUGGACGAACGGUGAACGAAUAUUGGAAUGAAAUGGCUGAGUACAUAUGGAAUGUGGCAAAAAGUCAUCGUGUGUGUGAUGUCAUCGGGAAAGAAAAUUAAAAAUUAAAGAUAAAUAGACCUGGUGGUAGUAGAGCAACAACGUUCAAAAAGCGCGUAAAGAAAAGAAAAAACCUUUAAAAAAUGUCAGAACGCAGAUUCCCCAGAUUUGGUUACGAAAGAGAAGUUGAAGACAGCAUAUAAAAAAAACAAGAAGGUUUUCUCAUGUUCCCGUCGAAAAUUUGUGUACCGGGCUAUUAAUAGGUGCAAUGAGACCUCCUCUAUUUGUGACAGAAAAAGAUCUGGUCGUCCACGAAGUGUUCGUACGAAAACGGUGGUCAAAGCAGUAAGGGAAAGAAUUCGAAGAAAUCCUGUCCGAAAGCAAAAUCUCGGGAGAUGAAGAUAGCACCUAGAACCAUGUCGCGUAUUUUAAAAGAUGACUUAGGACUUGCAGCCUAUAAGAGACGUACUGGUCAUUUCUUAACUGAUAAUUUAAAAGAGAAUAGGGUUGUAAAAUCGAAACAACUACUAAAGCGGUACGCAAAAGAAGGUCAUAGAAAAAUUUUAUUUACGGAUGAGAAAUUUUUUACAAUUGAGCAACAUUUUAACAAACAAAAUGACCGUAUUUAUGCUCAAAGCUCUAAGAAAGCUUCCCAAUUAGUCGACAGAGUGCAACGUGGGCACUAUCCGACUUCAGUGAUGGUUUGGUGGGGUAUUAGCUAUGAAGGAGUGACUGAGCCAUAAUUUUGUGAAAAAGGUAUCAAAACAUCGGCACAAGUGUAUCAAGAUACCAUUCUUGAGAAGGUAGUGAAGCCCCUUAAGAACACCAUGUUCAAUAAUCAAGAAUGGUCCUUCCAGCAAGACUCGGCGCCAGAUCAUAAAGCUCGGUCUUCGCAGUUUCGCAGUCUUGGUUGAUACGCCAUGAUAAUUUGGAGUCCCUAAAACAAUCCGUACUAUUGACAGUGAAAAUUUUUCCCAUGGAAAGAGUGCGUGCUUCUAUUGAUAACUGGCCUCAACCUUUAAAGGACUGUAUUGCAGCCAAUGGAGACCACUUCGAAUAAGCUUUUUAUACUUUAAAUUGUUUUAUAUUUAUGUAUUAAACUAACACACUGUAAAAGUAAUAAAUGUUAUUUGCCAUAGAA